rnacentral:rRNA from 1 species
AUUGAACGCUGGCGGCAGGCCUAACACAUGCAAGUCGAGCGAGCGGCGGACGGGUGAGUAAUGUCUGGGAAACUGCCUGAUGGAGGGGGAUAACUACUGGAAACGGUAGCUAAUACCGCAUACCAUCAGAUGUGCCCAGAUGGGAUUAGCUAGUCGGUGGGGUAAUGGCUCACCUAGGCGACGAUCCCUAGCUGGUCUGAGAGGAUGACCAGCCACACUGGAACUGAGACACGGGCAAGAGUCCUACGGGAGGCAGCAGUGGGGAAGAUUGCACAAUGGGCGCAAGCAGGAUGCAGCCAUGCCGCGUGGGUGAAGAAGGCCUUCGGGUUGUAAAGCACUUUGAGCGGGGAGGCGGGAAGGGAAGAAGAAGCACCGGCUAACUCCGUGCCAGCAGCCGCGGUAAUAG